AAAUUGAAGAGUUUGAUCAUGGCUCAGAUUGAACGCUGGCGGCAGGCCUAACACAUGCAAGUCGAACGGUAGCACAGAGAGCUUGCUCUCGGGUGACGAGUGGCGGACGGGUGAGUAAUGUCUGGGAAACUGCCUGAUGGAGGGGGAUAACUACUGGAAACGGUGGCUAAUACCGCAUAACGUCGCAAGACCAAAGAGGGGGACCUUCGGGCCUCUUGCCAUCAGAUGUGCCCAGAUGGGAUUAGCUUGUUGGUGAGGUAACGGCUCACCAAGGCGACGAUCCCUAGCUGGUCUGAGAGGAUGACCAGCCACACUGGAACUGAGACACGGUCCAGACUCCUACGGGAGGCAGCAGUGGGGAAUAUUGCACAAUGGGCGCAAGCCUGAUGCAGCCAUGCCGCGUGUAUGAAGAAGGCCUUCGGGUUGUAAAGUACUUUCAGCGGGGAGGAAGGUGUUGUGGUUAAUAACCACAGCAAUUGACGUUACCCGCAGAAGAAGCACCGGCUAACUCCGUGCCAGCAG
rnacentral:rRNA from 1 species